CUUUUAAUGAAUAGUACAACUUACUAAAAAUUAAUAUAAAAAUUUUCUCUAUUUUUUUUAAUUUGAAUUUUACACUUUCAAAAGACAAAAUGAUAAUACCAUUUUUAUUUGACAUCAUGUUGAUGUUUUUAAACAAAGCAUUCUUCAUAGCAUUUAUCCAAUCUUUCAAGUUUAAUCCCAUUUGUAUAAAAAUCAUAAUUUUUCAAAUCUUCUCAGGAUUCAUGAGUAUAUGCAUUUAAAAAAUCCAAGUGCAAGUACAUGAAAAUAUAUUUAUUGACUAAAAUUAUUGAAUUUAUUCUGCAAUCAGCUACCUAUUGCACAUUGUUUUGCUUUAUUUUUAUUUAUAAUACAAAUAAAUUUUUGCUUUAUUUUGAAGAAAGACAGUCUCUAAAUUUUUUGUCUUCUUAGAGGGCUUCAUUUAAGUCAUGUUGAUUUCUAUAAAAUUCUAGGGCAAAAACUUGGGGAUUAAAAAAAUAAAUAAUUAAAACGUCAAGGGUAAAUUGCAGGAUAAAAACAACAUAUAUAUUUUGUUUGAAACAAAGAGAAAAGCUUUGAGAGCAUUGCUUCUUUUGUCUUGUUUCAAAAGCCUUCACAAUUAAAUUUCUUAUGUUGCCUUCUAUGUACAAAAUAUUUUAUAUGUAUUUUUUUUCUCCUGCUAUCAAAGUACAAGGUGCAAAUUGUUCAUCAUUUGUCCAUUUGAUGAUGUACCGUUUAACAAAUACACUUUGUCUUUCGUUUUCCAAAAAAGAGAUUCUUUGAAUUAGUCCGAGAUAACUAACAAGUUUUUCUGUAUUGUGAUGGUUCCGUCCAGGUAGAGGGAAAGUAAUUUAUUUAAACUUUUAUUUUUUUUAUCACAUUCCAUAUUUAUAUAUAAGCAUCAUCUGUGAUAUAUUUUAUAAUAAAUUAGUAUUUAUAAAUUUGUAUUAUUUUUCUUAUACAAAAGUCCAUGUAAUUGCAUUAUUUAUAUUUUAUUUUCCUACAAGCAUAGUUACAAAAGCAUGAUUUUGCCUACAGUUUUCACUGGCAGCAUUACCAAUUGCUUUAAUUAGUUGACACUUUAAAGACAUAUCUCUGUGUCAACAUUUUAUUCAUAUUAAAAACAUUUCACCACUCCACAAAGUCAAGAAAUUUUUUUUCAGCACUUUGAACACUUUUUUAGAAGAUUGCUGUCAAAUCCUAAUGGGUUCGUAAACUUUUUUUCAUUUUUUUAAAACUUAUUUUUAGGAUAAAGAACAAGGACUAGGAAUUUUCUAUAGUCUCAAAACCAGAACACUUGAAAAAUGAGAUGACAUGGACUUUUGUAAAGAAACUAGUAAAGCUAUUAUGAGCACAGUUAGAUAUUGUAUGAAUGUGUUAAUGGUUUGUUGUCAAACAACUAGUGAAAUCAUGCCAAGAAAUAAAAGAAG
rnacentral:lncRNA from 1 species